rnacentral:rRNA from 2 species
UACGUAGGGUCCGAGCGUUGUCCGGAUUUAUUGGGCGUAAAGAGCUCGUAGGCGGUUCCGUAAGUCAGAUGUGAAAACUCAGGGCUCAACCCGGAGACGCCAUCUGAUACUGCGGUGACUGGAGUCUGGUAGGGGAUCACGGAAUACCUGGUGUAGCGGUGAAAUGCGCAGAUAUCAGGUGGAACACCGAUGGCGAAGGCAGUGAUCUGGGCCAGUACUGACGCUGAGGAGCGAAAGCGUGGGGAGCAAACAGG